GAUGAACGCUAGCUACAGGCUUAACACAUGCAAGUCGAGGGACAGGCGCACGGGUGAGUAACACGUAUCCCACCUGCCCUUUACUCGGGGAUAGCCUUUCGCAAGAAAGAUUAAUACCCGAUAUAAAGGAUGGGGAUGCGUUUCAUUAGGUUGUUGGUGAGGUAACGGCUCACCAAGCCUUCGAUGGGUAGGGGUUCUGAGAGGAAGGUCCCCCCAAUUGGAAACGAGGACCGGUCCCAACCUCUACGGGAGGGAGCAGUGAGGAAUAUUGGGCAAUGGGCGCUAGCCUGAACCAGCCAAGUAGCGUGAAGGAUGAAGGCUUAUGGGUCGUAAACUUCUUUUAUAUAAGAAUAUGUAUUAUAUGAAUAAGGAUCGGCUAACUCCGUGCCAGCAGCCGCGGUAAUUC
rnacentral:rRNA from 1 species